GGGUUUGUCCGGUACGGCUGUGCCGCUCGGUGUGCACCGCUCCUCGGGACAGCGUGUGCCGGGGCCCUCCUCGGGAAAUAUUUCUUCCUUCUAUGGAAACCAACGAGCACCCGGGCCUGCACUCUUGAUAUAAAUACCCGGUGAUGACCGACUUAUUGCGGGCGACCGGGCGACGAAUCCACCGUUGGGACAGCACUGCCGGUGUCAGGCCGUGUGGAUUUGCCACAAGGUUUCUCACAAUGACUAACAGUAGAAGGAAAUGUGCUCUGAAGGGGUGUGCUUGCAAGUCGGCUCAAGAGAAAUGAAAAUCGUUGUAGCGGGGACCCUGCCUGGGAGCAGAGCAUUACCAAAUACGUUACUAUGCAAAGAAUCUCAUGUUGAAUAAUUUAGAAAUACCUUUUUGUUAGUGGUCAAGUAAAACAUGGCAACAGAGGGUAAUCUCAGGAAAAAGAGGGGAUAAAAACAUCUCUAUCAAGCCCAGACUUGAUGGGAAAGGAAGAGCUGAACAAGUGUGCGUGUCUGGGGGUGUUCAUCUUCUAGACUGCACCCAGAGAAGGAGAAUGAUUGUGAUGCUGCAGUCUCGGAACUCCAGUCAGUACACAAAUGGAAGGAUUUCUGGGCUGAGAUGAAUUUAUCUCCGCAGCUUCUAAUCUUUUGGAUUUUGUGUUCUAGUGCAGUGAAGCUUUUGGGCAUGAUUUAUCAUCACUAUAGCUAACACUGUAUGGGAAAAAAACUGACUUUAGAUCUUACAUCAAAGCUUUUAACAAAGCUUGUUUCCCUGGAUUUUACUUGCUUUCCAUUGUCUCCACCUCUCUGGUGCCUCUUUAAAAUAUAUGCCUAAUCUGAAAGCUGAGUGCAAGAAAUAUUUGUCUGACUUGUUUGCUCCCAUUCCGAAUCUUAUAAACACUAGUCUCUGUUGUGAAGGAGUCAUGCAUCAUUAAGAGUAAAUCUUUCUCGUAC
ensembl:lncRNA